rnacentral:rRNA from 1 species
GACGAACGCUGGCGGCGUGCUUAACACAUGCAAGUCGAACGGAAAGACCCUGCUUUUGUGGGGUGCUCGAGUGGCGAACGGGUGAGUAACACGUGAGUAACCUGCCCUUGACUUUGGGAUAACUUCAGGAAACUGGGGCUAAUACCGGAUAGGAGCUCCUGCUGCAUGGUGGGGGUUGGAAAGUUUCGGCGGUUGGGGAUGGACUCGCGGCUUAUCAGCUUGUUGGUGGGGUAGUGGCUUACCAAGGCUUUGACGGGUAGCCGGCCUGAGAGGGUGACCGGCCACAUUAGGACUGAGAUACGGCCCAGACUCCUACGGGAGGCAACAGUGGGGAAUAUUGCACAGUGGGCGGAAGCCUGAUGCGACAACGCCGCGUGCGGGAUGACGGCCUUCGGGUUGUAAACCGCUUUCGCCUGUGACGAAGCGUGAGUGACGGUAAUGGGUAAAGAAGCACCGGCUAACUACGUG